GGGCGUGUGGUGUAGUGGUAACAUUCCAAGUCGACGAAAAAAGUCAUUUGGAGGAGUUAGUGGUUCGAUCCCACUCUUGCUCA